rnacentral:rRNA from 1 species
UCUAUGUUAUUCAACGAGGACAUCUGAAAUGAAUCAAAGGUUUACCGCUAUAGGAUGGGGAUGCGUCUGAUUAGGUUGUUGGCGGGGUAACGGCCCACCAAGCCGUCGAUCAGUAGGGGUUCUGAGAGGAAGGUCCCCCACAUUGGAACUGAGACACGGUCCAAACUCCUACGGGAGGCAGCAGUGAGGAAUAUUGGUCAAUGGGCGAGAGCCUGAACCAGCCAAGUAGCGUGCAGGAUGACGGCCCUAUGGGUUGUAAACUGCUUUUAUCGGGGGAUAAAGUGCGGGACGCGUCCCGUUUUGUAGGUACCCGAUGAAUAAGGACCGGCUAAUUCCGUGCCAGCAGCCGCGGUAAUACGGAAGGUCCGGGCGUUAUCCGGAUUUAUUGGGUUUAAAGGGAGCGCAGGCCGAAGGUUAAGCGUGACGUGAAAUGUAGCCGCUCAACGGCUGAACUGCGUCGCGAACUGGCUUUCUUGAGUGAGUUCGAUGUGGGCGGAAUUCGUGGUGUAGCGGUGAAAUGCUUAGAUAUCACGAAGAACUCCGAUUGCGAAGGCAGCCCACAAGGCCUUUACUGACGCUAAAGCUCGAAGGUGCGGGUAUCGAACAGGAUUAGAUACCCUGGUAGUCCGCACGGUAAACGAUGGAUGCCCGCUGUUUGCGAUAUACUGUGAGCGGCCAAAGAGAAAUCGUUAAGCAUCCC